rnacentral:rRNA from 1 species
UUUAUUUGAGAGUUUGAUCCUGGCUCAGGAUGAACGCUGGCGGCGUGCCUAACACAUGCAAGUUGAGCGAUUUACUUCGUAAAGAGCGGCGGACGGGUGAGUAACGCGUGGGUAACCUACCCUGUACACACGGAUAACAUACCGAAAGGUAUGCUAAUACGGGAUAAUAUAUUUGAGAGGCAUCUCUUGAAUAUCAAAGGUGAGCCAGUACAGGAUGGACCCGCGUCUGAUUAGCUAGUUGGUAAGGUAACGGCUUACCAAGGCGACGAUCAGUAGCCGACCUGAGAGGGUGAUCGGCCACAUUGGAACUGAGACACGGUCCAAACUCCUACGGGAGGCAGCAGUGGGGAAUAUUGCACAAUGGGCGAAAGCCUGAUGCAGCAACGCCGCGUGAGUG